rnacentral:rRNA from 1 species
GAGCGYGUAGGCGGGUAGUUAAGUCAGAAGUGAAAUCCAAUAGCUCAACUAUUGAACUGCUUUUGAWACUGAUUACACUWGAAUAUGGKAGAGGUAGAUGGAAUUUCUGGUGUAGGGGUGAAAUCCGUAGAGAUCAGAAGGAAUACCGAUUGCGAAGGCRAUCUACUGGAACAUUAUUGACGCUGAGACGCGAAAGCGUGGGGAGCAAACAGGAUUAGAUACCCUGGUAGUCCACGCCCUAAACGAUGUACACUAGUUGUUGUGAGGCUCGACCUUGCAGUAAUGCAGCUAACGCUUUAA